rnacentral:rRNA from 1 species
CCUACGGGAGGCAGCAGUGGGGAAUAUUGCACAAUGGGGGAAACCCUGAUGCAGCGACGCCGCGUGAGUGAAGAAGUAAUUCGUUACGUAAAGCUCUAUCAGCAGGGAAGAAAAAGACGGUACCUGACUAAGAAGGCCCGGCUCACUACGUGCCAGCAGCCGCGGUAAUACGUAGGGGGCAAGCGUUAUCCGGAUUUACUGGGUGUAAAGGGAGCGUAGACGGCUGUGCAAGUCUGAAGUGAAAGCCCGUGGCUCAACCGCCGAACUGCGUUUGAAACUGUAUAGCUUGAGUACUGGAGAGGCAGGCGGAAUGCCGAGUGUAGCGGUGAAAUGCGUAGAUAUUAGGAGGAACACCAGUUGCGAAGGCGGCCUGCUGGACAGAAACUGACGUUGAGGCUCGAAAGUGUGGGUAUCAAACAGGAUUAGAUACCCCUGUAGUC